rnacentral:lncRNA from 1 species
CCAACAGUAACAAAUAUAAAAUCUGAUAUCAUCAUAAUCGAUUAUUGCCCCCUUAAAUGAGUAUGCAUGCUAAAACAUAUUUUUAAGGUAAAUAAUAUUUAUGCAAUUUAUAAAAUAAUUAUGCCAAAAUAUUUUUAUGAAAAAUUAUAUUUAAAUACAAAUUAUUGUGAGUGUGUGAUAUAUUUUCAAGAGAGCUUUUUCUACUACUCGCAUAAGGAUCCUAAAAUAACAUAAGACUAUAAUUCAAUAAGACUAUAACUCAAGUCUUGUAAGCUUAAUCCUCUUUUUCGCUUUUUGCAUCCUUGUCAUUCUUGAACUUCUUUUGACAAUCAUCAAAACAAAAAUAUUUCUGUCAAGACAUAUAUUCACAUUCUCCCCCUUUUUGAUGAAAACAAACAUCUCAUGGUGGGAUUUGCUCAAUGAAGGGGUUAGAAUAAAAUUAAUCAAUAAUAAAGUAUAUAUCAGAGAUAAGCGCAGAUUAUUCUCCCCAUUUCUAUAUGCAAACAUUUUUAAACUACUUCCCCUGAAACAUGCAAAUCACACAACUCUUCCCCUUUUGGCAUUAUCAAAAAGCGGGAAAGAAAUAAUAAUGGCAAGACAUAUAUUCAGGAAAAAUAAAUUAUUAACAAAAGGAGUAAAGUGAAAAGAGUGAACCAUUUUUGCUUCUCUUGAUCAUUUGCAAUUUCUUUUUGGAGAACUUUCAAUAACAUCGCCUUAUGAUGCAUAGCCAUUUUUUUUUAAUAAUAAGGACAACUCCUUUUUCUCCAUGUCAUGUGCUUUGAAUAGCCAUUAAAAAUAUACAAUUUGAGUUCUUGGGCUCCAAGCACACCUACAACGAAAAAUCAAAUUUUGGCUUUUGGUACCCAAAUCAUUUUGGGUCCUUGAGGGUUAGCUUUAGGCAAAGCGCCAUUUGAAAUCCAUUCUCAUCUAUUAUUUAAAAAUUGGUUCUUUCUCAAAUUACAAAUAGAUGAAGUAUGACCAUUUUUGUUGCAAUAGAAACAUUUAACAAAAGUUCUACUAUAAGUCUUGUUUGGGCUAAAUUUUUUUUUAAAAGGUAAAAAAUGUCUUUUUGGUUGAUAGCCUAAACCGGCUUUAUUAUAGCUUUCAUUUUGAUUGCCCAAAAUGAUGUCUAGUUUGUCUCUACCCAUUGUGAAUUUUGCAAGAACAUUAUUCAAAUCUUCAACUUUAUCUUUCAAGAUAUUGCAUUCAUUACAUUCAAUAUUUUCUUUCUUGUUUUCACAAGGGGUGUAAGUAGAUACCUCGCUUAGAAAAACUUGUUUCUCUUUAAGAACCUCUAUUUCCUUGGUUAAAACAUCAACUUUUUUUUUUUGAUAACAUAAAACAUCAACUUUCGAUUCAAGAGUGGAAAUAGUUUUCUUAGAAGUAGAAACAAUUUUUUUAAACUUACUAGACUCCUUAUUUAAUUCUUCACAAAUAAAGAGCAAUUCAUCAUAAGUAAAGUUUGACUCAGAUUCAAAUGAAUUUACCUCUUCUUUUUGAUGAGCCAUGAGACAUAGGUUUGCUUCCUCAUUAUCCGUUUCGUCGGAUGAAUCUAUGUUAUUGUCAUCCCAUGCAAUGUAAGCCCUUCUCCCUUUAGAUUCAAUUUGUGGUCUUUUAUCUAAAUUCUCAUGUUUCUUUUGAUAUAGCGGACACUCAGAUUUUAUAUGACCUUUCUUACCACACUUUUUUUUUUUGAAAACUUGGUAUCCGAUCUUAGGACCGACUAAUCCAAUGGGACCAAUCCCAACGCCCACUUGCGGGGGCCCCAUUUAAAGCCAGAGUUUUUUUUGCUCUGUAUGGACUUAGCCCACCGAAAUUGGCACCAGUGGGAAUCGAACCUGAGACCUUGAGAGGAGCAUACUCCAAGGGCCCAAGCCAACACCUUUCUUACCACACUUAUAGCAUGUUGCAUUGAAUGAGGUUCCUUCGUCACUUUUCUUUUGAGAAUUUUGGAAUUGUUUUGGUUUACCUCUAUGUUGCAUGAACUUUUUGAACUGUCGAAAUAAUAAGGCCAUGUCGUCAUCACUUUCAUCGAAACUAUCACCACCUUCAAAUUCACUAUUUUUGGUAGUUGCAGCUAAAGCAAGCCCUUUCUUUUUCUUUUCUCCUUCUUCACUUUCUUUGAGUCGAUUUAGUUGAAUCUCGUGUUCCUGCAGUUUACCAAAUAAAGUAGCCAAGUCCAUAGAUGUUAAAUCUCUGGAUUCGAAAAUGGCAGUCACUUUGGGUUGCCAACUCUGAUUUAGACAUCCAAGAACUUUGUUAAUUAAAUCCUCAUUAUUGAAAGUUUUUCCAAGUGCUCGGAGAUGAUUAACUAUGUGGAUGAAUCGUGUUUGCAUAUCUUUUAUACUUUCUUUUGAUUUCAUCAUAAAUAGUUCAUAGUCACGAGUUAAUGUGUUCAUUCUUGCCCUUUUGACCUCGUGAGUUCCCUCAUGGGUCACUUGAAGGGUGUCCCACAUUUCCUUGGCGGUAGUACAAUUUGAAACUCGGUAAAACUCAUUCAUGCUUAAAGCAAUACUUAUGAUUGUUUUAGCCUUCAAAUUGUAUCGUACCUUUUCUUUAUCUUCUUUGGUCCAAAGAUUUCUAGGUUUGUUUACCACUACAUCAUUAACGAGAUGUGUGGGAACAAAUGGAUCAUUAACAACAGAAUCCCAAACAUCACAAUCAAUUCCCUCGAUGAAAAUUUUCAUCUUCUCUUUCCAAUAACCAUACCCAUCACCAUCGAAAUGUGGGGGUUUGUUUAAGGAAUCGUUGUUGGAAGUCAUCUUGGCUCUAGAGAUGACUAGUCUAUAAACAAGAGUUCAAGUUCUGNNNNNNNNNNNNNNNNNNNNNNNNNNNNNNNNNNNNNNNNNNNNNNGUGGGGGGUGGGGGGGUGAAUUGUGUACUCAAAAACCAAGCUUUUAUAACAGGAUAAGCUAAUAACCUUUACAACCGAGAACUCUCAACACAAACAAUGGGAUAUCACCUACCUUGUGCAAGAGCCUCUAAACCAAGAGAUAUCACCUCUCUUGAAAACCUUGGGAUCACACCCAAUACAAGGGAAAUUACAAGAUUGAAAUAUUACACCAAAUGUGUGGAUAUACUAAAUUGAAGCACAAGUACUACAAGAUAAACUAUGUAAUAUAAAAGAGCUCUCAAGAAUAUAUAUUAGCAAGUGUAAAAAUAGUGAGAGUGAUGAGUAUUAUUUUCUAUAUGAUUUUUAUGUAAAAUUUUGUUACUAAGAACUAUCACAAAACACCUCUUUAUAGAACCAAAAAUAUGAAUGUUGUGCGAUGUGAAUAUUGUAGCCGUUGUAUCAUAUUAAUGAUAAAUAGCCGUUGGACAAUUGCUAUGCAUAUAUAAGAUUAUUUGUUUCCAAAUGAAAGUAUGCCUUAUAUAAAAAUAUGAAUUUAAUUUCCAAAUGAAUGUGUUCAUAGGCAUUACCAUAAUUGUGCCAACAGUAACAAAUAUAAAAUCUUAUAUCAUCAUAAUCGAUUAUUGCCCCCUUAAAUGAGUAUGCUUGCUAAAACAUAUUUUUAAGGUAAAUAAUAUUUAUGCAAUUUAUAAAAUAAUUAUGCCAAAAUAUUUUUAUGAAAAAUUAUAUUUAAAUAAAAAUUAUUUUGAGUGUGUGAUAUAUUUUCAAGAGAGCUUUUUCUACUACUCGCAUAAGGAUCCUAAAAUAACAUAAGACUAUAACUCAAGUCUUGUAAGCUUAAUCCUCUUUUCCGCUUUUUGCAUCCUUGUCAUUCUUGAACUU